UUUAUUGACCCAUAGAUAUCGCAGACCCAAUUAGAGAAAAUAAAAUAAAACCAAAAUAAGACAAAAAAAAAAAAGCACCAAAAGAGGCAGGGCAAGUCACUACUGUCUAGGGGGAAAGAAAGGAAAAAAAAAAAGAAAAAAGAUUCUUGGAUAUUCAAGUCGGGUGUUGGAGGGUCUGUCUCUUCCUUAUCUACUAUUAUUAUGCAAAAGGAUUUGAGAUGCACGAAAGAGAAAACCUUCUUCUUGUUCUUGUGUGUGGCUGUCCUCCCAGGUGCAGCAAACUACUACAUCAGCGACACGGGCGGCCUCGGUCUAAGUAAGUAAGUAAAUAGGGAGCUAAUAAUUCUAACUGCACCCCCAGAUUCCCUCCACAGUUCAUUUUAAUCUCUUCCGCUCUCCCAUCCACAUCUAUUCUGUUUAUCUAUCUGUUCUAUUCUAUGCAGUUGAAAUGGGAGUUCUCUCUGCUGCGUAUCGAGGACCUAUCAUGUUAAAUUUCGGUAUCGAGGAAAGAUUCUCCCCCAGACAGACCCACUCACCACCACAGCAUAAUAAAUGAAAGCCCCACCGAAGCUUCCGCGGGGUAAAGUCAACCGCCGUUGCAGGAUGCGGGAACUGACGCAUACUGCACAAACUCCAGCUUGGGGAAACACCCAAAAGGGUCAAACAAAGGGGGGUUUGCAAUUUGACCAAAGACAAAAAAAAAAAAAGGAGGCUACCUGAUUCGGUGAGCCUAUUAUUUUGAGAUGCUUGUCAUCCUACUAAAACUACUAAAAUUAGUACUUUUUAAUCUCAUCUCUAUCUAUAUAUUUUUAUAAUAAUUUCUAAUUUAGAAUUUCCAAAUAGAUACAUUAACAUCAUCAUCAUCAUCAACUCACACUAACUAUUUUUGGGAGGUCAAAAUCCCGAAAUACACAAAUUUUGAAACGGGCCGGGAAAGCACUGAAUUGAGGUGGUAAGGGGUUCAUUCAAAGUAGUAGUACUACUACUACUAUAUAUAUAUAUAUAUAUAUAUAAUGUAGUACUAUAUAUAUACAUUCAAAGUAGUACUAUAUAUAUAAUGUUGUCAUGAUUCAUUGACAGUCUCUGUGUUGUAAAACACAACAUCUCUGUGUUAUAAAACACAGCAUUAAAGUAUCUAAUCUUAUCUUUCCUGUAUUCCUGUUUAUAUGAAUAAUAAUUUUUUGAAAUAUGUAAUAUUGUAUUAUCAACAAGCUUGGGUGGCAUCCAGUUGCUGAUUUUUCUGGAGGUUAAGCUUGUCAUUUUCCUGCAAAAUAGAAUUUGUUAGUUUAAAUGGUUUAGAGAAGGGUAAGAGAGCAUAAGAAUCAAGGUAUCGGGUAUUAUGUCCUCUUUAUGAUUAGAUAAAGAAUUAGUUGUUGA
rnacentral:lncRNA from 1 species